rnacentral:rRNA from 1 species
UACGGGGGGAGCAAGCGUUGUUCGGAUUUACUGGGCGUAAAGCGUGCGCAGGCGGCUCGGAAAGAAAGAUGUGAAAUCCCAGGGCUUAACCUUGGAAUGGCAUUUUUAACUCCCGAGCUAGAGUAUGUCAGAGGGGGGUAGAAUUCCACGUGUAGCAGUGAAAUGCGUAGAGAUGUGGAGGAAUACCGAUGGCGAAGGCAGCCCCCUGGGAUGAUACUGACGCUCAUGCACGAAAGCGUGGGGAGCAAACAGG